GAUGAACGCUAGCGGAAGGCUUAACACAUGCAAGUCGAACGCCUGUAGCAAUACAGGAGUGGCAGACGGGUGAGUAACACGUGGGAACGUGCCCAAAGGUACGGAACAACUCCGGGAAACUGGAGCUAACACCGUAUGUGCCCGAGAGGGGAAAGAUUUAUCGCCUUUGGAUCGGCCCGCGUCUGAUUAGCUAGUUGGUGGGGUAAUGGCCUACCAAGGCGACGAUCAGUAGCUGGUCUGAGAGGAUGGCCAGCCACACUGGGACUGAGACACGGCCCAGACUCCUACGGGAGGCAGCAGUGGGGAAUAUUGGACAAUGGGCGCAAGCCUGAUCCAGCCAUGCCGCGUGAGUGAUGAAGGCCUUAGGGUUGUAAAGCUCUUUCACAGGAGAAGAUAAUGACGGUAUCCGGAGAAGAAGCCCCGGCUAACUCCGUGCCAGCCGCCGCCGUAACAC
rnacentral:rRNA from 1 species